rnacentral:rRNA from 1 species
AGUGAACGCUGGCGGUAGGCCUAACACAUGCAAGUCGAACGGCAGCACAGGAAGCGCUUGCUCUUACGGGUGGCGGGUGGCGGACGGGUGAGGAAUACAUCGGCAUCUACUUUUUCGUGGGGGACAACGGAGGGAAACUUACGCUAAUACCGCAUAUGACCUACGGGUUAAAUCAAGGGUGCUUCACACCUUUCCCGUUUCAAUUAGACGAAGUCGCAUUAGCUAGUUGGCUGGGUAAGGGCUCACCAAGGCGACGAUCCGUAGCAGGCCUGAGAGGAUGAUCAGCCACACUGGAACUGAGACACGGUCCAGACUCCUACGGGAGGCAGCAGUGGGGAAUCUUGGACAAUGGGCGAAAGCCUGACGCAGCCACACCGCGUGAGUGAAGAAGGUCUUCGGGUUGUAAAGCCCUGUUGUUAGGAAAGAAAAGCUGCGGAUGAAUAUGUCGCUGUUCUGACGGUACCCAAAGAAUAAGCAACGGCUAACUUCGUG